rnacentral:rRNA from 1 species
UGGGGAAUUUUGGACCAUGGGGGAAACCCUGAUCCACCCAUCCCGCGUGUGCGAUGAAGGCCUUCGGGUUGUAAAGCACUUUUGGCAGGAAAGAAACGUCAUGGGUUAAUACCCCGUGAAACUGACGGUACCUGCAGAAUAAGCACCGGCUAACUACGUGCCAGCAGCCGCGGUAAUACGUAGGGUGCAAGCGUUAAUCGGAAUUACUGGGCGUAAAGCGUGCGCAGGCGGUUCGGAAAGAAAGAUGUGAAAUCCCAGAGCUCAACUUUGGAACUGCAUUUUUAACUACCGAGCUAUAGUGUGUCAGAGGGGGGUGGAAUUCCGCGUGUAGCAGUGAAAUGCGUAGAUAUGCGGAGGAACACCGAUGGCGAAGGCAGCCUCCUGGAAUAACACUGACGCUCAUGCACGAAAGCGUGGGGAGCAAACAGG